rnacentral:sRNA from 1 species
UUAUAAACCUGACAGCAGCGGCAGCUCCUGAUUUUUUUAUCGGGACUAAAGCGAAUGGCAGGGCUUUAC